rnacentral:rRNA from 1 species
AGUGAACGCUGGCGGUAGGCCUAACACAUGCAAGUCGAACGGCAGCACAGUAAGAGCUUGCUCUUACGGGUGGCGAGUGGCGGACGGGUGAGGAAUACAUCGGAAUCUACUUUUUCGUGGGGGAUAACGUAGGGAAACUUACGCUAAUACCGCAUACGACCUACGGGUGAAAGCAGGGGAUCUUCGGACCUUGCGCGACUGAAUUAGCCGAUGCCGCACUAGCUAGUUGGUGAGGUAAAGUCCCACCAAGGCAACGAAGCGUAGCUGAUCUGAGAGGAUGAUCGGCCACAAUGGAACUGAGAAACGGGACAGACGCCGACGGGAGGCAGCAGUAGGGAAUGUUCCGCAAGGGGCGAAAGCCUGACGGAGCAACGCCGCGGGAGUGAUGAAGGUCUUCGGAGCGUAAAACUCUGUGAGUAGGGAAGAACAAAUGUGUAAGGAACGAGGCACGUCUUGACGGUACCUAAUCAGAAAGCCACGGCUAACUACGUG